AUGGAUUGGUCUGUUCCAGGUAACCAUGAUAACACCAAUAGCCCUGCGGGUAUAGGAAAGGUCCGGCUAGCAUCAUCUCUCCCACCGCAAGCAUCUCCCAGAGUGGAAGCCAUGGAUGAGCGACUGGAGGGAGAGCAGGGCCCCGAGAACAUCUGGAGGAUGAAGAAGGUCCGAGCCAAAGGACAGGAGCAGAAGGCUGAGACCAAAGGUCAGAAGAACCAACAGAGGGUUCAGCCACAGAACCUGAAGAGUCAUCAGAUAUCGAGGAAACCAUCAUACACACACUCUACGAGUCACACUCAAGUUCACAGUCCUGGUUGUCAAGUAAUCCGGAAGAAUUUGGGCAACGACAUUGCCAUUGCCAGUUUUUCUAUUGUCUCUUUUUGGUCCAUUUAGAUUGUACACAAAAAAAUGUACAAAAUGUUAUGGUUAAAAAUGUUCAUGUUUUACUGUGGCUUGUAGGCUCCUAAGUGGACCAUAAGGUUAAAAACCAAACCCCCCCCCAAAAAACUGUCACAACGUUGACAGAAGGUGGCGCCUCUCCUCGUUCGGGCGGCGCUCGGCGGUCGUCGUCGCCGGCCUACUAGCUGCCACCGAUCCUCUUUUCAUUUUAUUUUGGUGAUGUCUGUUAUAUGUGUGCACCUGUAUUGAGUUAGGUCGUUAGUGGGGGGGUUAUUUAGUCUGUCUGUUUAGGUUUGGGGAUUGUGCGGGAUUGUUUUUUGUCUGCGUUGUUUAGGUUGGGGUUUAGGUUUUCCUCUGCCAUUUGUUUAUUAAUGUAUAUGAGUUUUCCUGGGCUGCACCCCUACUCUGUUUACAGGCUCUUAACCUUUUGAUGUAUUUCGCCCUGCCUUGCAUUUUUUUUGGCAGUUUUGGACUGAUACCUAUUAAAACGUGUUUUCACGGACCUUGGUCUCCUUCGCCUGACUUCACCCCUCCUGCUUAUUUGAGUAUCGUGACAGUAACUCUGCCAGAGUGUCUCUUUUGGGUCACUUUUGCCGGUCCCAAGCCCGGAUAAAGGAGGAGGGUUGGAAUUGAGACAACAACAAAAAACAAGAAUCGACAGAAGAAAGUUCAUUUGUAGUUCUAAACAUAUUUGCAGUGUUUUUUACUCACUUUUUGUCUCUCCCACAAUGUUAUUCCUCUCUCCUACAGCGUCAAUGACAAUUACAUGCACACGGCAAAUUAGGCAAAUUAGGUGAUGACGUCAUUUAGCGACUUUCCAGUGGGUCAGAAGUUUACAUACACUAAGUUGACUGUGCCUUUAAACAGCUUGGAAAAUUCCAGAAAAUUAUGUCAUGGCUUCAGAAGCUUCUGAUAGGCUAUUUGAAAUAAUUUAGGUCAAUUGGAGGUAUACCUGUGGAUGUAUUUCAAGGCCUACCUUCAAACUCAGUGCCUCUUUGCUUGACAUCAUGGGAAAAUCUAAACAAAUCAGCCAAGACCUCAGAAAAAAAUUGUAGACCUCCACAAGUCUGGUUCAUCCUUGGGAGCAAUUUCCAAACGCCUGAAGAUACCACGUUCAUCUGUACAAACAAUGGUACGCAAGUAUAAACACCAUGGGACCACGCAGCCAUCAUACCGCUCAGGAAGGAGACGCGUUCUGUCUCCUAGAGAUGAGCGUACUUUGGUGCGAAAAGUGCAAAUCAAUCCCAGAACAACAGCAAAGGACCUUGUGAAGAUGCUGGAGGAAACCGGUACAAAAGUAUCUAUAUCCACAGUAAAACGAGUCCUAUAUCGACAUAACCUGAAAGGCCGCUCAGCAAGGAAGAAGCCACUGCUCCAACACCGCCAUAAAAAAGCAACUGCACAUGGGGACAAAGAUCGUACUGUUUGGAGAAAUGUCCUCUAGUCUGAUGAAACAAAAAUAGAACUGUUUGGUCAUAAUGACCAUCAUUAUGUUUGGAGGAAAAAGGGGGAGGCUUGCAAGCCGAAGAACACCAUCCCAACCGUGAGACACGGAGGUGGCAGCAUCAUGUUGUGGGGUGCUUUGCUGCAUAAGGGACUGGUGCACUUCACAAAAUAGAUGGCAUCAUGAGGCUGGAAAAUUAUGUGGAUAUAUUGAAGCAGCAUCUCAAGACAUCAGUCAGGAAGUUAAAGCUUGGUCGCAAAUGGGUCUUCCAAAUGGACAAUGACCCCAAGCACACUUCCAAAGUUGUGGCAAAAUGGCUUAAGGACAACAAAGUCAAGGUAUUGGAGUGGCCAUCACAAAGCCCUGACCUCAAUCCUAUAGAAGAUUUGUAGGCAGAACUGAAAUAGCGUGUGCGAGCAAGGAGGCCUACAAACCUGAAUCGGUUACACCAGCUCUUUCAGGCGGAAUGGGCCAAAAUUCACCCAACUUACUGUGGGAAGCUUGUGGAAGGCUACCCGAACGUUUGACCCAAGUUAAAAGAUUUAAAGGCAAUGCUACCAAAUACUAAUUGAUUGAGUGUAUGUAAACUUCUGACCCACUGGGAAUGUGAUGAAAGAAAUAAAAGCUGAAAUAAAUCAUUCUCUCUAUUAUUCUGAUAUUUCACAUUCUUAAAAUAAAGUGGUGAUCCUAACUGACCUAAAACAGGGAAUCUUUACUAGGAUUAAAUGUCAGGAAUUGUGAAUAACUGAGUUUACAUGUAUUUGGCUAAGGUGUAUGUAAACCUCCGACUUCAACUGUAUGUGGUUUCAAAAAUAUUCGUAUGAAAAUCUGUCGCCAAUUGGAUGGAAACCUAGCUACUGACAUGAAUGCAUGACUAUGUGAAAAUUUGACUUAAGUGGAAGUUAGGAUUUGCCCCUUAGAGUUUAGUAGUUGAAGAGGGCCGUUGCUGACCAGUACAGAAAAUGUCCGGCACCUCUAAUUUAUA
rnacentral:lncRNA from 8 species